CUACGGUGAUGAUCACUAGAACUCUCUCUUACUGAAUCCACACCUUUGAAGAAAUUCCUUUACCAGAUUCUGAGUAGC